UAGCCUGCUCGCGCAGCCGCCGUCUCGUCUGCCCACCGACGAAGCAUGGGCGUCCAGGGCUUCCAAGAGUUCCUGGAGAAGCGCUGUCCCGGGGCUGUUGUGCCCGUGGACCUCCUCAAACUCGCGCGUACGGUCUCGCGCCAGCAGCAGCAGCAGCAGCAUCGCCCGCUGCCGCCUACGGCAGCCCUAGCGCCCGGGGCUCCACGCGCCGCCAGGGGCUCCGCGCCUCUGCAACCGCCGCUCGCGCCCGCUGCCUUGGGUGCCUACUCCGGGGGCGCGGGGCCGACUCGGCACCAUCACCCCGCUCACCACUUCCACCAUCACGGCCAGGCGCACCCCGGGCUGCACCCGCCGCCGCCGCCGCCGCCCCCUCCGCUGCCCGGGGCCCGGGUGCUGGUGGACGCGGGCUCAGCGCUGCCUCGGCUUUAUGGCGGCUACCAGACGGAUUGGGUGUGUGGCGGCCAAUGGAACGCCAUGCUGGGCUACUUGUCAGCGCUAUGUCAGGCUUGUGCCUAUCCCGGCGGCGACGGCUUGGAGCUGGUGGUCAUGUUCCCCGGGGGCCUGGGCAAGGACCGGCUGGCCGAGUGGGGCCGUCGGUGCCAGGCCGAGCGGCAGACAGCGCAACUGAUCGUGGGACACGUGGGCAACAAGGGCACCCCUCCUCCACGGGCCUGGUUCCUGCCACCGGCCUGCCUGAGCCACUGCGUGAGGCUAGCGCUCAUCCGCUUCCGGGUCAAGGUCUUUCAGAGCCUUGAAGACCACCAUUUGGAAGUGGUGGCUUUUUUCAGGGAAAAUGGCUUCCAUGGCCUUCUUGCCCAUGACUCCGAGUAUGCUCUCUACAAUAUUCCCUCUUACUAUAGUUCCCAUGCUCUGAAGCUGAGCUGGAAUGGGAAGAACCUUACUACCAACCAGUUCCUGAUGCAGGAGGUGGCCAAGCAGCUGGGUUUGAAGCGGAUGAAUUUUCCCAUAUUUGCUGCAUUGCUAGGUAACCACAUUCUCCCAGAUGAGGACCUGGCCGCUUUUCACUGGAGCCUCUUGGGACCAGAACAUCCCCUUGCAUCACUUAAGGUCAGAGCUCAUCAGCUGGUUCUUCCUCCCUGUGAUGUGGUAAUCAAGGCUGUUUCUGAGUAUGUUAGUUCCAUCAAAGACCCCUCAAACCUGGAUGUGGUUGGGAAGGAUGUUUUCAAACAGUCUCAGGUUUUCGGAAUAAUCGACUUGGAAAUCCUCCCAUUCCACGAAAUCAAAUGGGCACUAUCUCUGCUGGAAAGCCAAUGUUUUCUCACCACGUGCCCCAGAAAAUGAAAUAUCCACCACCAUUCCCAGUGGGACCCAACUCCUCUCUUCUCUUCUCCCCCCAUGCUUUGGGGGAAUCCCAUGCUUUUUCUGAGGAUCCCAUGCUGCAGGACAGCCCCUUUGCCAGUUGGGCUGUCUCUUAUGAUUCCUCUGCAUCCCAGUUUCCCAAUUACCUGACUUCCAAAGCCUCACCUCCUUUGGGACCAGACUCUUCCCACUCCUCUUCCUCUGAUGCUGAUGAGCCAAAUGGAGCCAGCUCUGAUCACAUCACAGAAACACUUCAGCAGCAGCCUGGAUGGGAGGAUCCAAAUGGUGACAGAGGGUCUUGGGUACAGCCCAUCGAUGCUGGAGUUUCAGAUGCCAGCCUGGGUGAUGGUGAGCCCCACAUCCCAUCUCUGCUGUCUAUGUCUACGAGGAACCAUAUGGACAUCACCAUUCCGCCCUUACCUCCAGUAGCUCCAGAAGUCUUGCGGGUUGCUGAACACAGACAUCGAAGGGGUCUUAUGUACCCAUAUAUCUACCAUGUCCUCACUAAGGGUGAGAUUAAGAUCCCUGUAUGUAUUGAGGAUGAGUGUAACAUGGAGCUGCCUCCAGCUGCUCUCCUGUUCCGGUCAGCUCGUCAAUAUGUAUAUGGGGUCCUUUUCAGUCUGGCAGAGACACAGAGGAAAAUGGAACGCCUGGCCAUACGGCGGCGGUUGCCUGUAGAAGGUAC